AUUGAACGCUGGCGGCAGGCCUAACACAUGCAAGUCGAGCGGAGCGGCGGACGGGUGAGUAAUGCCUAGGCAUCUGCCUGGUCGUGGGGGAUAACGUCCGGAAACGGGCGCUACUACCGCAUACUCUCAGAUGAGCCUAGGUCGGCUUAGCUAGUUGGUGGGGUAAAGGAAUACCAAGGCGACGCUCCGUAACUGGUCUGAGAGGCUGAUCAGUCACACUGGAACUGAGACACGGUCCAGACUCCUACGGGAGGCAGCAGUGGGGAAUAUUGGACAAGGGGCGAAAGCCUGACCCAGCAAUGCCGCGUGUGUGAAGAAGGUCGUCGGAUUGUAAAGCACUGUAAGUUGGGAGGCGUUACCAACAGAAUAAGCACCGGCUAACUUCGUGCCAGCAGCCGCGGUAAUAC
rnacentral:rRNA from 1 species